rnacentral:SRP_RNA from 1 species
GCUGGGUGUGGUGGCUCACACCUGUAAUCCCAGCACUUUGGGAGGCUGAGGCGGGAGGAUCACUUGAGCCCAGGAGUUUAAAACCAGCCUGGGCAACAUAGUGAGACCUUGUCUCUA